rnacentral:rRNA from 1 species
AUUGAACGCUGGCGGCAGGCCUAACACAUGCAAGUCGAACGGUAACAGGAAGCAGCUUGCUGCUUUGCUGACGAGUGGCGGACGGGUGAGUAAUGUCUGGGAAACUGCCCGAUGGAGGGGGAUAACUACUGGAAACGGUAGCUAAUACCGCAUAACGUCGCAAGACCAAGAGGGGGACCUUAGGGCCUCUUGCCAUCGGAUGUGCCCAGAUGGGAUUAGCUAGUAGGUGGGGUAACGGCUCACCUAGGCGACGAUCCCUAGCUGGUCUGAGAGGAUGACCAGCCACACUGGAACUGAGACACGGUCCAGACUCCUACGGGAGGCAGCAGUGGGGAAUAUUGCACAACGGGCGCAAGCCUGAUGCAGCCAUGCCGCGUGUAUGAAGAAGGCCUUCGGGUUGUAAAGUACUUUCAGCGGGGAGGAAGGGAGUAAAGUUAAUACCUUUGCUCAUUGACGUUACCCGCAGAAGAAGCACCGGCUAACUCCGUG